AACGAACGCUGGCGGCAUGGCUAACACAUGCAAGUCGAGCGCGAAAGUUCCCUUCGGGGAGCGAGUAGAGCGGCGAAAGGGCGAGUAAUGAAUGGGUAACGUACCUCUGGCUCGGGGAUAGCCCACCGAAAGGUGGGAUAAUACCCGAUGUAGUCACCGUGCCACAUGGCACAGCGGUCAUAAAAGGCUGGGAUCCUUCGGGACCAGUCGGCGAGAGAGCGGCCCAUUUCCUAUCAGCUUGUUGGUGAGGUAAAAGCUCACCAAGGCUUCGACGGGUACCGGGACUGAGAGGUUGGCCCGGCGCAUUGGGACUGAGACACUGCCCAGACUCCUACGGGAGGCUGCAGUAACGAAUAUUGGGCAAUGGGCGAAAGCCUGACCCAGCAAUGCCGCGUGUGGGAUGAAGCCUUUCGGGGUGUAAACCACUGUCAGGGACUACCAAGCAAUGGGAGUUAAUAGCUCCUUGCGUUGAGGAAUCCCAGAGGAAGCCACGGCUAACUUCGUGCCAGCAGCCGCGGUAAUACGAAGGUGGCUAGCGUUGUUCGGAAUUACUGGGCUUAAAGAGCACGUAGGCGGCCUAUCAAGCGUUUUGUGAAAGCCCCCGACUCAACCGGGGAAUUGCUUAGCGAACUGAUAGACUUGAGGUAGGCAGGAGCGAGUGGAACUCUUGGUGGAGCGGUGGAAUGCGUAGAUAUCAAGAGGAACGCCAAUGGUGAAGACAGCUCGCUGGGCCUGUCCUGACGCUGAGGUGCGAAAGCCAGGGGAGCAAACGGGAUUAGAUACCCCGGUAGUCCUGGCCCUAAACGAUGUCCACUAGGCCGAUGAUUCUCUGACGGAUUGUCGGCCGGAGAAAAAUUAUUAAGUGGACCGCCUGGGGAGUACGGUCGCAAGGCUAAAACUCAAAGGAAUUGACGGGGGCUCACACAAGCGGUGGAGCAUGUUGCUUAAUUCGACGAUACGCGAAAAACCUUAUCCUGGGCUUGACAUGCUUGGAUGUCCAUCUGGAAACAGAGUAGGCUGCCCUUCGGGGUGAAACUUGCACAGGUGCUGCAUGGCUGUCGUCAGCUCGUGUCGUGAGAUGUUGGGUUAAGUCCCGUAACGAGCGAAACCCUUGUCGCUAGUUGCCAGCGCGUAAUGGCGGGGACUCUAGUGAGACUGCCGGUGUUAAACCGGAGGAAGGUGGGGAUGACGUCAAGUCCUCAUGGCGCUUAUGCCCAGGGCUGCACACGUGCUACAAUGGGAAGGACAAAGGGAUGCAAGACCGCGAGGUGGAGCAAACCCCAAAAACCUUUCCCCAGUUCAGAUUGCAGGCUGCAACUCGCCUGCAUGAAGGUGGAAUCGCUAGUAAUCGCAGAUCAGCUAUGCUGCGGUGAAUGUGUUCCUGAGCCUUGUACACACCGCCCGUCAAGUCAUGGAAGCUGGUAGUGCCCGAAGUCGCCACAUUUCAGUGGUGCCGAAGGUGAGAUCGGUGACUGGGACU
rnacentral:rRNA from 1 species